AUAUUUUGUUUAAUUUUUUGAAUUAUUAAAAAUCUAUUUUUUUCAGCAUCGAUGAAAUGUCAUCAGAGGAGAGAUAUGCCAUAUUCUAAUAUAAUGAAAACAAAAAUAAAUAAACAAAAAGAAAAAGAAACACUAAAGGACUACCAGGACGUUCGUCGAGCUAUUUCACAGUUUCGUUUAUUGCGACUCUCGCGAUUAUUGCGCCAUCGAUCGGGAGAAUACGGUAAACUCGCGAUUGGCGAGUCGUGAUAAUUACGAAGGAUACGUUUCAGGAAAAAAAAGGGUUGAGUGUGGUUAAGCUCUGGUGAAUGUCGAUGAGUUUUUCGAGAGUUUUGGAGAGAUGAAAUAUUCGAGUGCUUUCCGGAAUUAAGCGCGCUUUCUUUGCGGUCGAUUACAAAGUGUCGAAGUUAGAUAUUCACAAAUUUAUAUUUCAGAAAAAGGGGAAAAGAAAGAAACGCGAGUGUCACGCUUCUCGGAGAGAGUACACUUCCCCCUAAACACAUAGAAAGAUACUCUUGUUCCGCGCCAGGUCAACGACACUUUAACUGAUCUCAAUUCCGUAUAACCGAGAGCUAAUUGUAUCAAAGUGGAAAGGAGGAAACGGCAAAGUGGAAAACGUUUCCACGUAACUCGAUCAACGUCAAGGUGUCCACCCAUGUUACCACGUCUACGACCAGUCUGACCACUUAUCGACAUCUGUAAAUGCACCUUGAACGGGUCCAACGACGACUUUAUCCAUCGUUGUUGAUUCACCGCCAGUUAUCGAUAAAUUAACGCGGCGUAAACUUGACGCCUUAUCGCGCGUUUGGCCACGCCUCUCUCCCUUUCUGUACCGAAAACGGGAGAUCGUGGGAUGGACGUGUGUUGCAAUGCCGAUAACGAUAACGAUGCAUCGCCGACCAUGGUUUGCGGGAAACGAUCGCCCACAGUUUUCGUUUACAAAAUCCAUCGAACACAUCGAAGUAACAUCGAGGUAAACGUUGGCAGAGCCAUCGAUACGAAAGAUGAUUCGGAUGCGGUGCACAGAAGAAACGCUGGCGCUGAAGUUCCGGGUGAAAUGAACGCUUUGCAUGCGCGGUAUCGAGCCUUCCCCAUAAAGCUUAAUUGCGAUUGAAGGUCUUCGGCAUAACCCGGACAUGGAUUAAGGUGCAACCAUAGAAGCAUACACGUUACAAAGUGCCGGUUACCGGUUUCAAGCGUUUAUUAAUGCAAUAACGAUAAACUUGCACCAUAAUUCGCCUCAUUUCAUUUUAAUCUUAAGUCUAGCGUUCUACAUUAUCAUUCGAGAACACGUAGAAGCAAAGGGUCCUUUAAAACGCGAUCCCAUCGAAAUAAAGCGUUUCAAAUACGAUUGUUAUAUAAUUAAUGUAAUAUUACAUAACAAUCAAAUUACACAAUAUAUAAUAUUACAAUACAAUACAAUAAUGUAAAUAAUUUUAACCUUACCUCAAAUACAUUGAUAAAUUAAUUUUGAUCUUGAAUUUCAAAAAUUUUUUUAUUAUAUUUCAUUCGAUCUGCAGAAUCGAUCUUCGAAAAACGACUCUAUCGAAAUAUUUUUUUUCAAAAGAUUCGAUCGUCAAGAUUUGACUUUUAAAACUGCAAAAAUAUCCCGUUAACCUUUCAGAUUAUUAAAUUCCUUCGUCGACGAGGAAACUUAAUGUCCCUCGAGUUAUCUCGUUGAAUCACGAGUCAAGCUCACUUUGAACGCGAGGGAAGAUGCACAAAGGUGCCGAAACCGUUUUUUUCCCACCCUCUGGCGAAUGAGUUUAGAAAGGGUUAACGCGCUCCUGGCCAUUCGAGUAUAUAGGGUGGAAGGAACCACAAUUUCGCCAACAAUGCGGGUUAGCUUCAUCGGCGCGUCACUAUAUGAAGAUUCUUUAGGGGGGGAGGAGCGUUUAGAAGGAGACGUUUGAAUUACUGGCUAUGUAAUCGCGCUAAAAUAUGGCGGACGGAGAAGUGUAUUAGGAGAUGAUAAUGAUUGAUGAUAAUUCAAUCUUAUCAUCGAAUAAUUUCCAUAACGUAGUCGUAUUUUAUUUUAUUUUUCGAUCUUUGAAUUUAAUUUAAUUAAUUUUACGAUCGAACAGUUUCUUCUGAAUUUAAGUGAAAUUAUCAUACGUUUUGAAUCGCAAGAAACAAUAUUUCGUUAUAUUUUAUAUUUUUAAAAAUUUUUAAGUAUUGUUUUAGUGA
rnacentral:lncRNA from 1 species